UUUUUUAAUUAUGAGUUUGAGAGUGAGCCUGUCUCUUAUGCUAAUGAGAAUUGAUUUAAUUUUUGCCACAACAAUUUGGUGUCAGAAAGUGGGAUUCCUUGGAUGUGUCUUCUGGACCUGUGAGCGGACGGUGACUGAUCAUCCUAGACAAUAGUUGUUCAGCCCUAACCCCGAUUAGACUUGAGGGAGAGAGGGGCCGACCGCAGAGGCCCGGAGGGGACACCACUGGAAUCAGAAAAGAACCUAGGUGGCAACAGGACUCUCGGGUAAGAGACAGUUCAUAAUCUUCUAAAAAUUGGGUUUUUAGAAAUUAGAAUUGGAAUUAAAUUAGAAAGGGAUGAACCAUAGCGGUGGGUCCUUCUCUGUGGGAAACACAAUCAAGAAGGGAUUGUGAAGAAUACUACGGCACAGUCAAUAAAUUUCUGGGGGAAUUGAAACUGCUGCAAUCGGCGUGAUCGUAAAUUGAGUUAGAAAUUGAGAUCAAAGCGAUCCAGAUAUUUCGAAGCAAAGUUGAGAUCACGCGCAAGCGGUUAACACAUUUCUAAGAGGGGAAUUGAGACUGUGCGGGUAUUAGUUUGAGCGCAGGGAGAAAAGUCGGAUCUGUUAGAGACGUCUGACAGAUUAUAGGCGCGCCAAAGGGUAUCCACAGAGAAGGAAACAGCAAAUAUGGGAAAGUCUCAGAGCAAGCUCGUUGAAUAUGAUACACCGGUAUAUUGGCAAAUGAAAAAGGUAUAUGGCCAGAAAUGCAUGCAAGAUAUGGGGAAAUUAAUUAAAUACCAUGGUUUUUAAUACCAAGGGAACAUUGAGUGUUAAGAGAUUAAAAGCUGUGAAGGAAUCAGUAGAAGAGGGAAGCGAGAGACAAAAAGGGUGUUGUGUGAAACAUAUGUGUGAGAAGUGUGAGCAAACGGUGAAUUGUCGGAUAGAGGAAGCAGAUAGGAGAGAGAGAAGAGCGAUGCAGAAAGAAUUAGCAGGUAGAAAAGAGCAAAAGAAAGUUGAAAAAUGUGAAGAAAAAGUAAAUGCAUCACACAGAUCUACUAACAACUCUGAUAUUUCUGUUUCCAAACAUGCACCACCGCCUUAUCCUCACUAUCCCGUGGCGGAGCUGCAAGCCAUGAAAAUGGACCCUGACCUCGACUGCUCUCCACCGAAAAGACCAACAGCGCCGUGGGCAGAACCAGAAUGGAGACGAGAAACAGAGGAAGAACCAGAAAUUAUUCCUGAAACCCCCAACGAAGAAAUUGAAGAGGAAAUAGUGCGCAGAGCACCGCCGACAAAGAAAAGAAAAACAAGACAAACAGCAAAAGAAGAAAAUGUGAGUGUAACAGCUCCAAUGCUUGAAGUAUCUUGUCCUGAGGGGCCUAUUAUGGUCUUCAGACCAUGGACUGUGACUGACAUGAGAGAAGUGAUGGCUCACUUGCCGAGCCCUGACGAAGCAGGUGAUAAAUUUUCAGUAGAAUUAGUCACCUUGUGCCAAGAAUUCAGCCCAACCGUGCACGAACUGAGAAGGCUGCUGGCAGUGAAACUGGGGGCUACGAGCUGGCACAAAGUGAGUGGAAAGCUGCAGAAAGAAGACUGUCGGAGAGAACACUGUGAAUGGGGACACCGAGAUAAUGCAGACUACCGCAGAGCUGUGGAAGAACUUGCUGAAGCUAUAAAAAUAGCAUUUCCAGCGCCUGUGGACACAGCGAAGAUUGGCAACUGCUGCCAGAGCAGAGAUGAGUCUGUUCAGGACUAUUACAACCGCCUGUAUCUGAUUUUCAACAAACACAGCGGGUUAGAGGAACCAGAUGAGCGAGGAACUCAGCCUGACACAUGGGAGUGUCAUUUGCGGAGCUGGUUCUUGAAUGGACUGAGACCUGAAAUCGCGCAAGCGGUAAAGACAGCUACAUCGAAUGGAAAAGUGGACGGCUAUCUGCUGUUUUAGCACACACUUUGCAUGCAGAGGAGAUACAGACAGCGAAGAAGAAAAGAGUUAAAGCCAAGACCGACAGAGAGUGGCAGCUGGCGGUAGUGCAAGCAGUGUCGAAGCCUGGGCGCUAUUCUGCGCAGCGAAACCAGCAAGCGAAAGGGGGAAGAGGAAAAAGACCAGGAGGAAGAUAUCCGAGUGAGACUGAAAGGAAUUAUGAGAGAUGGGGUUGUUGGAUCUGUGAGACUAAUGAACAUGCAACCUACAAGUGUACAAGAUGCAGACUGUGCAAAAAGGAUGGUCAUUGGGCAAAGAAUUGCCCGGAGGACCAGCAAAAUCAAGAAGCAGACUGAAACAAGGAAGACGGAGAGCAGAGAGGAGGGGUCCAGGGCGAGCAGCCAACAGCCACAAGUCAGGGAAGUGAAAACUUUCUAACCACAUACACACACACACACACAUACACUGAUUUACAUUCUGCUCUCUGCAAUGAAGAAAAAGCUUGCUUUCCUUUGUGUACGUCUGAUUCUGUUUAUGAAAAUCCUGAUAAAUGUGCGAUAAUGUAUAAAAGUGAAGCCUUUAUGAAAAUGCCAAAAUAUUCUAUGCUAGUAGAGGGGAUAUUGAUUGAGUUUUUAGCUGAUUCUGGGGCUUCAAGAUCAGCUAUACGACCAUGUGACUUGCCAUGCCAACCACAAUUAACAGGCGAAACAAAUGAGUCAAUUUCUGCAUCAAGGCACGUAAUAUGUGAACGAUUCACAGUGCCCCUAAAUUGUGAAACAGAGGGGGGUGAGGUGCUGAAACAUGCUUUCCUUUACACUCCAGCAUGGCCAGUGCCCUUAAUGGGGAGAGAUUUAUUGUGCAAACUAAAUUUGACACUGGUUGCAGACUCUCGGGGUGUCCAUGUGACAGAGAGAGAGCAAGUUUGUUGUCUGCAAGCAGAACCAAAAUGGGCAUAUGAAUGGCACAUCAUAAAUUCUGACUGGGCUGAAAUGAUGUGUGAACUGACUAAAAAUAGAACUAAACCAUUUGACAGAGAAAUUAUGUUGCCUGACAAAUUGCAUUGCACGUCACAUGUCGUAGUGGAACGAGAUGACCAGUAUGAGAAAGACUGGUUUGAGGGAGAAAAAGGAGAAACUUUGAGUUUUGAGAAAAUGUUUUGGACAGAAAAUAUGUGUGCAGUUUCAGUUUGUCUGACAGAAAAACAGCUUCAGUUUUACUUAAUGGCAGAAGAUUCUGUGCCUCACUUAUCGCUCUCCAAGGGCAGAGGACAGACAUGGUGUAGAUUAGGGCUGUUUGUGAAGAGCUGUGUUUGUGCUACUGACUGGAGGGAGAUAGGCGGGGGGUGGAACACAGUGAGAGUCUGAGAGCGUUUAUGACAGAGUGCAAGCAUGAGAUUGGAGUGGAGAGAAUUGUGGUACCAAUUGACCAAAAGGAAAGGGAAAAUCAUUGCAUGACAAAUAUUUGUGCUUCAGACAUACAUCCAGCCUUGGCAGAAGUGCCAUCAGAAUUGUGGGCAAAACACAAAUAUGAUGUGGGUUUAAUUAAAGGAUGUGAACCGGUUGUGAUCACCCCAAAAUCUGAUUACAGACCGUGUCAACAUCAAUAUCCUCUAAAACCAGAGGCAAUUCUUGGUAUAAAACCAGUAUUUGAGUCACUAUUAAAAGAAGGAAUAAUAGUGCCAUGCAAUGAUUCCCCUGUGCACACUCCAAUUUUUCCAGUGAAAAAGAUAUGGUAGAUUUGGCCAAUGCAUUUUUUAGCGUGCCAGUCGACAAAGACAGCCAAUUGUGGUUCGCUUUCGAAUUUGAGGGCAGGGGUUACACUUUUACUCGUAUGGGUCAAGGCUUUUGUAAUUCUCCAACCCUGUAUAAUGAAGCACUUAGGAGAAGCUUGGAACCUUUGACCCUGACAGCAGGAACAGCUUUGCUACAAUAUGUGGAUGAUCUUUGCUUGUGUGCUCGUGAUGAAUUUACAUGUGUUGCUGACACUGUGACUUUCCUGAAGCAUCUGGCUCAGGAGGGCCAUAAAGUCAGCCUGACAAAACUGCAGUUUGUGAAACAGCAGAUUACAUUCCUGGGGCAUGUAAUAACACCAAAUAACAAAGCACUGUCUGAAAAAAGGGUUAAAGCUAUUAAAGAUGUACCGAAACCACUCACAAAGAAACAAAUGCUUUCAUUUUUGGGAAUGUGUUCCUACUGUCGAACAUUUAUUCCAAAUUAUGCGAUUCUUGAGCAGCCUCUGAGAGCCCUAACAACAGGGAAGGGGUUGAAGUCAGGUGACAAAAUUGAUCGGACAGAGAGUGCGGGAGAGGCAUUUCUGAACAUGAAAGUUCAGCUGUCUGUUACGCCAACUCUGGGACUGCCGGUACCAACAAAGCCUUUUGUUCAGAUGGUGGAUGAGAAAAAUGGGUUUAUGACUUCUGUACUGUUGCAACAUCAUGGAGACAGACUGAGACCUGUGGCAUAUUUUUCAAGUAAAUUAGAUCCAGUUGCAGCAGGCCUGCCACACUGUCUGAGGGCAGUGGCAGCUGCUGAACAGGCCGUGUUGGCAUCUAGAGAAUUUGUGGGUUAUUCUGACCUGACAUUGAUGGUGCCUCACGUGGUGUCCAUGAUUUUACAAGAACAAAAAACAUCACACUUAUCGACAGCUCGGUGGUUACGAUACCACACUAUCUUGCUUGAUAUGGCUAAUAUCACUGUUAAGCGAUGCACAACCUUGAAUGCUGCUACUCUUCUUCCGACAGAGGAGGAUGGGGAAGAGCAUCAUUGUUGUUUAACAGCACUCGAACAAGUGUGUACACCACGUCCUGACCUUUCUGAUGUGCCACUUGAAAACUGUGAACUUUUGAAGUCAAAUGGGCGACCAAUAUUAAACGCACCUCUUGUAGCAGAUCUGCUGGAUGCUAUUUUGCUGCCAAGAAAGAUAGCCAUUUGUAAAUGUGCAGCACAUACAAAUAACAAAGAUUUUGUAUCUACAGGAAACACCAGAGCAGGCGCAGCAGCGAAGGUCGCGGCAUCUCAGCAGACAACGGCAUCAGAGUGUACUUUGUUAUCUGAAAAUAACCCUGACAUUUCUUCAUCCUUACAGGACAUGCAGACAUUUGCCUCGGGGCAAGAAAAAGAUAAAUGGAAGCAGUGUGGCUGUGAGGUGGUGAAUGGAGUAUGGAUGAGCAAAGAUGGCAAGCCUUGUUUACCUAAACACUUCUUUCCUCACUAUGCAAAGUCGAUGCAUGGGAAAGACCACGCAUCGAAAGGGGGAAUGAUUAUGAAAAUUAAAGAAUUGUGGUUUACAAAGGGGUUCACAAUUUUUGCAGAAAAUUUUUGUAAAAGAUGUGUCAUUUGUAACACACAUAAUGUAGCAAGAGGCAUAAAAAUGUCUCCGGUAUCCCAGCCAGCCCCAGCAGGGCCUUUUGAAUAUCUGCAAAUGGACUUCAUCGAACUGUCCCCAUGUGAAGGGAAGAAAUAUUGUUUGGUAUUUGUAGACAUGUGUAGCAAAGGCUCUGCUGACUGAAAUAGUCCCGAGGUGGGGAAUCCCACGGAAAAUCAGUUCAGACAAUGGAACACAUUUUGUCAAUGAGGUAAUAAAACAAGUGGGAAAGUUUUUGGGGAUCAAUAUGAGAAUGCACUGUAGCUAUCACGCAGCUUCCUGUGGGAGUGCCGAACGGGAGAAUGGUACAAUAAAAAACAAAUUGGCUAAGUGUUGUGAGGAAACUGGACUCACAUGGGUUAAGGCGCUCCCGAUCGUUCUCAUGUACAUGAGAAUGAGAAAACGGUCCAGAGUGAACCUGAGCCCUUUUGAAAUUCUCUUUGGUAAACCACCAUUCAUGGGAAUGGAGGGGGGUAAACAACAGUUGCCAUCUACGGAGGUGUGUGAGCAUGACAUGUUGAGAUACUGCAAAGAAAUGUCUUCUCUGUUGUCUAAUGUCUGUGUGCAGGUGAAAGCUGCUCAGGGGAAAGUUGCUGAAACUCCGUUACAUGACCUAAAACCAGGUGAUUUCAUGGUGGUACGAGACCUGAGGAGAAAGAGCUGGAAGGCAAAAAGGUGGCUGGGACCGUUCCCGGUGCUUCAGACCACUCACCAGGGUGUGAAGGUAGUGGAAAGAGCAACGUGGAUCCACGCCAGUCACUGCAGAAAAGUUCCACCUGUAUCUCAGGAAGAGGAGCGGAGGGAGUAAAAUUUGAAGGCACACGUCAACAAAGGCAAAAAUCCAGCACAAACAUCAAGCACCCUUAUCAGCGGAAGAGCAAGGUCAAGAUUGAAAAACGGCAACAAAAGCAGCCUGCGCACAAGUGAGAAGAUAGCAGAUAUUAACAUCAUAGUUGGGUGCUCAACCAAGGCACAUGAAAGUCUAGGAUGGUGAGAAAAAGGCUGAGAAAGGGUACACAAAUAUAGUUGGGCAAUCGGCAUCAGGGAGGAGGUGCAGCGAAAAGAUAGAAGAGGCAGAGCUGCAGAUCAUCUUCAACCAGUCUACCUCAUACUUCCUGGGCCAACGACCGCACAAAAGGGGCACUGCCAGCCAAACAAAGAAUGGAACAAGCAAGACCAUGGCACCCAUUCAGACUGCAAGGACUGUGUGGCCUGAGAGGUACAACAUUUAUAUUGGCUGCACUGACUGUAAUAAUAUGUUCGAUGGCAUUUUACCUGACUGCAGAACUAGCAUGGGAAGCGACCAGCACCGCUCCGGGUGAGAACGCCACAUCAAACUAUACGGAUCAUCGACGAGUGAAAAGAUCAACAAUGACUCUGGUGGUACCAACGCAUGGACUGGAUGAAGACAUCGUAACGGUAACAGAAGGGUCAAAUGUGACAUUCAGCUGUAACCCAUUCAUUAAGAACUGUCCAUAUUGUGGAAGACCUGAAUAUGAAGGCACAAGCAGCGCCGAGUAUGCACAAGUCUACUUUUGCAGGCAUCCGUGUAAAUGGAGUGAGGUGAAAGCCUACGAACAUCCUGGGAGCUACGGAACAGAUGGGAGAUUUAAAGUGGUGAAGAGAAGCAAGCGUGGUCACAACAAGGGCGGGAUGUCUGUCAUAAUUGCAAGAGUCAGGGCUUCGGAUCAAGGCAAGUACUACUGUGGCAUAGAUAAGACAGGAACUGACUGGUAUGAAGCAUUAAGCAUUGUCGUGGGCAAGCCAGCACCACAGCCAGUGAAACAUCUUGUUGAGCCUGCUUUUGAACCAGCUACGAAGGAAGAGGCAGCGUGGAUGGGGAACGAGGAAGCGGGCAGAGGGGGAAUGAAUCCUGCAGUGCAAAAAGCCAUGACAAGGUGCCAGGGAAAUAAGGCGUGCACUUUGGCACUGUUGCAGAAAGAGGAGCUGAAGAUAAACACCAGCUGCUGGCUGUGUCUGCAGAUGUCUCACUCAUGGAGAGCUGCUCCACUGACUGUAACCACCCUAAAGGAAACCAGGUGCCUGAUACCGCAACAGAUGACAGAGGUGCUGAUGGCAGCGGAUGAUAUAGAGAAAGGGAGGAUACCGAAGAGGAAGCCCGAACCUGACUGCAAGGGGACGUCGUGGAACAACAAAUCAGAGGUGAUGAUACCGCCGUUGAGAGUGGUGCACACACAAGGGGAUGUGUGUGUCUGUCAAACAAGACCCAGAUUGAAGCUGAAGGUGGGAUGGUCUGACUGCAGGAUCAGGAUCGACAUCAGGAAUGGAACAGCGAACAACUGCACAGCGAACAUUGAUGGAACACUGACAACGUUCACAUGUCCUUUCAGCAGACCGAGAGCAUAUCAUGACCUGCCAGAGAAAGGAUGGACAGGGUGUUGUUACCCAGCAUUAAUGAAUGUAGGGACAUCUGUGUACCUACCAAGUGAAGAGCCUGAAGGUGAGAGUAGAAAGAGAAGGAGUGUUAAUAUUUUACCGGGGGCUCUACCAGAGAGGUAUAAUGGGUAUAAGUUAUCAGAUCCUUGGACAACACCAGGUGCAAACAUAGGGUGGUCACUUUUCUUGGGGGUAGGAACAGCAGUGAGUAUAAAUAAGAACAAUGGGUUAGCUUGGACAGUAAUGGCCAUAGCUAACAGUACUGAAAAUGCUCUGACAAUGGUUAAUGACGAAAUGAAACAAUUAAGAGAUGCAGUUAUACAAAAUAGAUUAGUUCUGGAUAUGUUAACGUCGGAAUCCGGAGGCAUAUGUAAAAUGUUGGGUACAUCAUGUUGUUUUCAUAUUCCAGACUAUAGCGACAACAUUACCAAUAUCAUCGCCCACAUGAGAAUGGCCGUAAAAGAGCCUGAGCGCACACACAAUGUAUGGGCAGAAUGGCUGACAGGCUUGUGGGGAGGAUGGGGAUAUUGGCUGUGCAACACUGUGUUACCAAUUGUAGCGGUAGGAUUUUUGCUGCUAUUAUGUUUACCAUGUAUCUUCCAGUUCAUAUCCAGCUCAGUACAGAGACUGGUGAAGUCCAGUGUUUCACAUCAAAUGGUUAAUCUGAAUGUGUACAACGAAGACAUUAAUAUGGAUUUGAGUAGGGAGAAAACUGCUGAUGAAGAGACAACCAGUAGCGGAAGCUACAGUGAAAUGUGUUAAAUGCAUAAAAAAAUGAUGAGAAUCUCUGAGAAAAAUGACAAGUAAGGGUUAGGCCCAUCUAUGUCUAUACUGUUGCUUGCUUAAAAUAGGGUCUAUCCCCAAACAAAAAGCCUUAGCAUGUUUUCUAACUUCUUUCACAAAUUUAAGAGAGUGAUCAUUUAUGCGAAAAUCAGAAAUUAAGAGUAUAAAUGUGAUGUAAUAACUUAAGUUUGCUUUAUUUGAAUUAUGUUUGUUUUCUUGAGUGUGAAUUUUUGAUUUCGAAUUGUGUUUUGAAUCUGUGAGGUGACUGAGGGUCUGACUCAUGUCAGGAAUGCAAUAACAGUGUUUAUUCGUUUAGCCCGGCUUCCAGAGCACAUAUAAUGUUAAGAGUAUAGUGAAAAUAUAAUCAGUAGUAAUGAAUUUUUCUUUUUAUGUUUUAGUGAUCAAUGAAUGAUAAAAAGGGGGAAAUUGUAGUGGAAAAAUUCAUCUGCAUGACUUCUGUAUAACCAUAUAUGCAUAUGUUUUGUUAGAAUUGCUGCGUGGAGACCGUGAGAUGGGUUUAGGGCCUAAGAGUAAUGGGCAACAGGUGAUUCACGGAGCCGUGUGGGAGCAAAAGGGAGACACCUGGGGGGAAAACAGAUGUCAGGAUGGCCUGAGAGGCCAUUUGGGACAUAGAAAUGGGGGAAGCAUAUGCCUGAGGAUGACCUGGGGGGGUCAUCCAAGCCCUAAAUGGGGGGGGGACCAACCUUUAGAAGAGUGUGUUUAUGACUUCUUUGUUUUCUAUGGAAAAGUACAGCUGCUAAGAGUAACCUUGACGGGGGAAAAGAGAUAUAAAGCGGAGGACUGCCCUCCCUUCUUUUGUCACACUCUGCAGUGACUUGUGUUUCUGUAUGACUGUCUG
ensembl:lncRNA